UAGGAUUUGGUUUAGGAUUUAGGAUUUGAUUUAGGAUUUAGGAUUUGGUUUAGGAUUUAGGAUUUGGUUUAGAAUUUAGGAUUUUAUUAGGAUUAAUUAGGAUUAAUAUUUGAUUAGGAUUUGAUUUAGGAUUUGGGAUUUAGGAUUUAAUUAGGAUUUGAUUUAGGAUUUAGGGUUUAGAAUUUGGUUAGGAUUUGGUUUAGGAUUUAGGAUUUGAUUAAGAUUUAGUUUAGGAUUUAGGAUUUGAUUAAGAUUUAAGAUUUGAUUAGAGUUUGGUUUGGGAUUUAGGAUUUGAUUAGAAUUUGGUUUGGGAUUUAGGAUUUGAUUAGGAUUUGAUUUAAGAUUUAAGAUUUGAUUUAGGAUUUAGAAUUUUAUUAAGAUUUAUUAAGAAUAAGAUUUGAUUAAGGAUUUGGUUUAGGAUUUAGGAUUUGGUUAGGAUUUGAUUUAGGAUUUAGGAUUCAGAUUUUGGUUAGAAUUUGGUUUAGGAUUUAGAAUUUGAUUAGGAUUUGGUUUAGGAUUUGAUUAGGAUUUAAGAUUUGAUUAGGAUUUAGGAUUUUAUUAGGAUUUGAUUUAAGAUUUAAGAUUUGGUUAGGAUUUGAUUUAGGGUUUAGAAUUUUAUUAGGAUUUGGAUUAGGAUUUAGGAUUUGAUUAGAAUUUGAUUCAGGAUUUAAGAUUUGAUUAGGAUUUGAUUUAGGAUUUAGGAUUUGAUUAGGAUUUAAUUAGGAUUUAAGAUUUCAUUAAGAAUUGAUUAGGAUUUAUUUAGGAUUUAAGCUUUAGUUAGUUUUUGGCUUAAAUUUUGAUUGAAGUCUAAUAGGAUUUUAAUUGGGAUUAAAUUAUGAUUGAAUUGAGAUUUAUUUGAGAUAUAUUUGUGAUUAUUUUAAUAUUUU
rnacentral:lncRNA from 1 species